ensembl:processed_transcript Has2os hyaluronan synthase 2, opposite strand
UUGGGACAGAAGUAGGUGGAGGGGUGUAAAACCCUCAACCCCUAAACAAAGCAAUAGAAUCUCCAGACUGCAGGCCUUGACUCAUGAAGCUGAGACACUCAGGAUGACCUUGUUGUCAUUUCACAGCUGGCAGGACCUGGGCCAAGAGAGCAUUACGUGUCUUCCUUAUCUCUCUGGAAAUCUAAGCUGCCCAGAUGAUCGUCUUCCGAGAAGGAAUUUGUAGUUCUGUAUCUUUAAGAGCAUCCCUCUUGUUUCUCAGUCUGCAAAACAGGAGGAAGCUUAAUACAGUGCUCUAUACUGCAGCACCAUUCUGUGCAUGAGGAUGCGGGUUGAAAAAGAAGGAAGAAUGAGAGGACCAGUCGUCACAAGCUCCUGUGUCCAAGUCUUCCCAGCCAUGAUGGGGAUACCCUCGGACGGUGAACCAAGAUAAAUAAACCCCUUCUUUCCUGACGUCCUCCUAUCAGGGUGUUUCAUCACAGCAAUGUGACAAUAAAUCCCAAGCCACUCUCAAUAAAUCACUCUCAUGCCACAUCUUCUAAUGGAAGAGUCUACCCUUCUUAAGAAUAACCUCUUUUGUUAUUUCAGUUUCCCAUAUCAUUUUUCUUCCUUUGCUUUCCUGCUCAAAAU